UCACAGCUGGUUUGAAAUUCAGGGCUAAGACACACCAGACCAUGUGCUGUGUCGAGUGUCAGCCUGCCUCAAGUGCAUUUGCAAAGCACAAGGCAAAGCUGAGUGUCUGAAUAAAAAAAUGCCUUCAGAAGUGACAAGAUCUAUCAUAAGAACUGUGGCAGUGCCAGCAGAGUGAGCCAUGGCAUUCACCUCUCCCCAGCCACCAGACUGAGCCACGGGGGCUGCUCUUCCAGGAGGGCUGGAUCCAGCUGUAUCACAUCAUUCAAUUAGAAGAGCUGAAUGCUGUGCCUCAGUGUCUGCUGUGAAGUCUAAGGAGACUUAAGGACUGUUGACGACAGCAUAACUUUGCCAGAGCAGGAGAAUGAAGACAGCCUGGCAAACACUGCUGGUUUGCUAAUGAUGCUUAUCUGCUCUAGCAAUCACAGAGAAUUGGAAGUGGCAGAGGAGAGAGAAGAAAAUCCUUAGGGAAAUCAGUGUGAAAUAAACUUCUGGAGUUGCUCAGAGAGUGGGAAGACUCUGUGAAAGACCCCUAUUACAAUCAAAAGCCCUCUCAAAUAAAAGACGCCUAAAAUUAGAGGUGA